rnacentral:rRNA from 1 species
GACGAACGCUGGCGGCGUGCCUAAUACAUGCAAGUCGAGCGGACGGAUGGGAGCUUGCUCCCAGGCCGUCAGCGGCGGACGGGUGAGUAACACGUGGGCAACCUGCCUGUAAGACUGGGAUAACUCCGGGAAACCGGGGCUAAUACCGGAUAACUCUUUCCCUCACCUGAGGGAAAGCUUAAAAAUGGCAUCUCGCUAUCACUUACAGAUGGGCCCGCGGCGCAUUAUCUAGUUGGUGAGGUAACGGCUCACCAAGGCGACGAUGCGUAGCCGACCUGAGAGGGUGAUCGGCCACACGGGAACUGAGCCACGGCCCAGACUCCUACGGGAGGCAGCAGUAGGGAAUCUUACGCAAUGGACGAAAGUCUGACGGAGCAACGCCGCGUGAGUGAUGAAGGUUUUCGGAUCGUAAAACUCUUUUGUCAGGGAAGAACAAGUACCGGAGUAAAUGCCGGUACCUUGACGGUACCUGACCAGAAAGCCACGGCUAACUACGUG